rnacentral:rRNA from 1 species
UACGUAGGUGGCAAGCGUUGUCCGGAAUUAUUGGGCGUAAAGCGCGCGCAGGCGGUCCUUUAAGUCUGAUGUGAAAGCCCACGGCUCAACCGUGGAGGGUCAUUGGAAACUGGGGGGACUUGAGUGCAGAAGAGGAGAGUGGAAUUCCACGUGUAGCGGUGAAAUGCGUAGAGAUGUGGAGGAACACCAGUGGCGAAGGCGGCUUCCUGGUCCAGCACCGACGUCAGGCACGAAAGCGUGGGGAGCAAACAGG